CUCGCUGCUGUUCUAUUUUUUUUGAAAAAUAAAUUUCAUUUUUUAAAAUAUAUUAUGGCUUUUAAUUAUAUGAUGUUUUGUAUGCUUUUUAUAUGCAUGAUCUCCAAACUGUUAAUAUGUCUUGUCCCAUCCUUUUCGAUUAUGACAAAGGGGGAGAAGAGAUUCUGUAGCAUAUAUUGUAUGUAUCUAACCAACUUGCAGGAACUCAAAAU
rnacentral:lncRNA from 1 species